UUUAUCUUGUUUAAGCUCUGUACUAAAGUUACAGAAACUAAUAUUGUGUCUUAGCAUUUGGAAUGAAGCUAGCAGAGAAACACAAGAAAAAAAAAACUGAACAACUGUAACAGAUAGGAGAAAAAUUGAGUUGAACCUCUUUCUUAAGUCUAGAGUACAUUGUUCUAAGAUUUGGUACAAUAAUA